UUGAACGCUGGCGGCAGGCCUCACACAUGCAAGUCGAGCGGUAGAGAGAAGCUUGCUUCUCUUGAGAGCGGCGGACGGGUGAGUAAUGCCUAGGAAUCUGCCUGGUAGUGGGGGAUAACGUUCGGAAACGGACGCUAAUACCGCAUACGUCCUACGGGAGAAAGCAGGGGACCUUCGGGCCUUGCGCUAUCAGAUGAGCCUAGGUCGGAUUAGCUAGUUGGUGGGGUAAUGGCUCACCAAGGCGACGAUCCGUAACUGGUCUGAGAGGAUGAUCAGUCACACUGGAACUGAGACACGGUCCAGACUCCUACGGGAGGCAGCAGUGGGGAAUAUUGGACAAUGGGCGAAAGCCUGAUCCAGCCAUGCCGCGUGUGUGAAGAAGGUCUUCGGAUUGUAAAGCACUUUAAGUUGGGAGGAAGGGCAGUAAAUUAAUACUUUGCUGUUUUGACGUUACCGACAGAAUAAGCACCGGCUAACUCUGUG
rnacentral:rRNA from 1 species